AUAUAUAAAUAAUAAAUAAAUAACUAAAAAUAAAUUCACUCUUUCUCAUUUCCGGACAAAACCCCUCUUUCUCUCAUGCCCAGGAAACCACCGCUCAAAUUUGUGAAAUUGGCUUCGCUCAAACAUUCCAACCUACUUGGUUUCUCAAUUUUUACUGAUUUCUUUUGUCUCCACCAAAGCCCUAAUUUCAUUGCCCUAGUUCUUAAUCUUUGAGGGUGCAUUCAUCAAACAAAUCAAAGCCCUAGUUCUUAAUCUUUGAGGGUUCAUUCAUCAAACAAAUCAAAGCCAUAUUCCUUAAACUUUGGUUGAUUAUUUCAUUUCAGAUUAAAGGUGCGAAAGAGGAUUUCAUUGCCCUAACUCUAGGCAAUUUCAGAUCAAAGGUGCGAAAGAGGAUUUCGUUGCCCUAAUCCCAUCCUUCCUUCCUGUAGCAGUAUCCGGUCGUUUCUCGCCGCCGUCGACCUCUCGGGGGAGAUAACCGUUCACUUUCGGCUAAGAUUUAUUGGGUAUGUGGGUUUCUCCUGCCCGGCGAGCUUCCCUGCAAAUUCCGGCAGCCCAUAUUCAUCUUUUACGGCUGCGGUUGGCCAGAAUUUCUUACAGUCCAUCUCAAUCUCUCUCUUCGUUCCUCUUCUCUCACUGUUGUGAUCUCGUGCUUAUAUGUAUGGAUUUUUCAAGAACAAGCGCAUUGUCCUUUAUGACGCAUUGAUUCAGCAGGUACGAGCUUGGAUCUUGUACCAUGGACAACGAGGUGAAAGAAGUGUGAAAAAUUGGAAGUCAGCUUGUGCCAGGAAUUAAUGAACAAUGUGAAGAUUUACAUAUUGAUCUAUUUUUGGGAAAUACUGGAUUUUCUUUUUUAAUUUUGGCAUAUUGAAUAAUGCUGAAUUGUAAAUUAAUGCCUUACUCUUUUGAUAUGUACGUUUAAUGGUGAAUUUAAAUAUAAAUUAUUUUGUAUAUUGGUAUUA